UGAGGAAUAUUGGGCAAUGCCCGCAAGGGUGACCCAGCAACGCCGCGUGGAGGAUGAAUGUCGUAAGAUUGUAAACUCCUGUUAGAGGGGAAGAAUAGUACCGGUUGGACAGGUAUAUGACUGUACCCUCAGAGAAAGCCCCGGCUAACUACGUGCCAGCAGCCGCGGUGAUACGUAGGGGGCAAGCGUUGUCCGGAUUUACUGGGUGUAAAGGGCGCGCAGGCGGGAUAAAAAGUCAGUGGUGAAAUCCUACAGCUUAACUGUAGAACUGCCUUUGAUACUUUUAUUCUUGAGUUCGGGAGAGAGAGACGGAAUUCCAGGUGUAGUGGUGAAAUACGUAGAUAUCUGGAAGAACACCAGUUGCGAAGGCGGUCUCUUGGUCCGACACUGACGCUGAGGCGCGAAAGCGUGGGGAGCAA
rnacentral:rRNA from 1 species